UACAGAGGCCACGAGCGUUAGGCGGAAUCACUGGGCUUAAAGCGUGUGUAGGUGGAUGACUAAGUACCUUGUGAAAUCCCACGGCUCAACCGUGGAACUGCUUGGUAUACUGGUUGUCUUGAGGCACUCAGGGGCGAGCGGAACAGAUGGUGGAGCGGUGAAAUGCGUAGAUAUCAUCUGGAACGCCAAUGGUGAAGACAGCUCGGCUGGGGGUGUACUGACACUGAGACAGCG
rnacentral:rRNA from 1 species